UACGAAGGGGGGCUAGCGUUGUUCGGAAUUACUGGGCGUAAAGCGUGCGCAGGCGGCUUCUCAAGUCAGGGGUGAAAGCCCAGAGCUUAACUCUGGAAUUGCCUUUGAGACUGAGAGGCUUGAGUACGGGGAGAGGUGAGUGGAAUUCCCAGUGUAGAGGUGAAAUUCGUAGAUAUUGGGAAGAACACCGGUGGCGAAGGCGGGCUCACUGGCCCCUAACUGACGCUCAUGCACGCACUGGGGGAUCAAAACAGGG
rnacentral:rRNA from 1 species